UCCCUGGUGGCUCAGAUGGUAAAGAAUCUGCUUGUAGUGCAGGAGACCCAGGUUUGAUCCCUGGAUUGGGAA
rnacentral:tRNA from 1 species